AGAAACUCUUCUUUUCUUUUCAUGUAAAUCUUUUGCAUUUUACUACAGAUUUCUGUGGAGAGGAGCAUUUAUGAUUUUGUACUCAAUUUUUUUGAGAUUUUGUUUGGGAAAGCU
ensembl:snRNA U5 U5 spliceosomal RNA